AACACAUGCAAGUCGAACGGUAAGGCCUUUUGGGGUACACGAGCGGCGAACGGGUGAGUAACACGUGGGUGAUCUGCCCUGCACUUCGGGAUAAGCCUGGGAAACUGGGUCUAAUACCGGAUGUGACCUCCUAUCGCAUGGUGGGUGGUGGAAAGAUUUAUCGGUGCAGGAUGGGCCCGCGGCCUAUCAGCUUGUUGGUGGGGUAAUGGCCUACCAAGGCGACGACGGGUAGCCGACCUGAGAGGGUGACCGGCCACACUGGGACUGAGACACGGCCCAGACUCCUACGGGAGGCAGCAGUGGGGAAUAUUGCACAAUGGCGAAAGCCUGAUGCAGCGACGCCGCGUGAGGGAUGACGGCCUUCGGGUUGUAAACCUCUUUCAGCAGGGAUGAAGCGCAAGUGACGGUACCUGCAGAAGAAGCACCAGCUAACUACGUGCCAGCAGCCGCGGUAAUUC
rnacentral:rRNA from 1 species